rnacentral:rRNA from 1 species
AUGUCCGUCCAGGGGAGGCGCGCUUCCUGCUACGACUGGUGCAGCGACUUCACGUGCGCGCACGCCAUCUUCGCCAGCGGGUUCGUCACCGCGCCGGUCGCCAUCGUGCACUUCGUCAAGCGGCCCUACUCCGGCGCCACCAUCUUGUUCGCAGCGUUCGCCGCGUUCUGCACCGCCGUCAGCCUCAUCCUCUGCUGCAAGUUCUACGCCGAGCUCAAGCGGCCGCCCUGGCCCCGGUGGCUGUCGUCGGCGUCCGCCGAAGCGCGCCAUCUUGAACAGCAGGACGGCCGAGAGACGGAGGUGUCGUCGCACGAGCUGCAGCUUCGCCACCCUGAGCAGGCCGUGAUGGGGCGCGAGCGCGACGACCUGCGAACCGCUCUCGUCCCGAGCUACGAGCACCCGGGGGGCGCCGCCGAGUGCGCGGUGUGCCUCGGCGAAGUGGAGAAGGGGGAGGCGGUGCGGCGGAUGCCGGUGUGCUUGCACGUGUUCCACACCGAGUGCAUCGACCGGUGGCUGCGCUCGCACGCUACGUGCCCUAUUUGCCGAUGCAGCGUGUUCACCCCGCUGGAACGGCCACCGGAAGUAGUGUUGAACGUCGAGUUGUGA